rnacentral:rRNA from 1 species
GACGAACGCUGGCGGCGUGCUUAACACAUGCAAGUCGAACGGAAAGGCCCUGCUUUUGUGGGGUGCUCGAGUGGCGAACGGGUGAGUAACACGUGAGUAACCUGCCCUUGACUUUGGGAUAACUUCAGGAAACUGGGGCUAAUACCGGAUAGGAGCUCCUGCUGCAUGGUGGGGGUUGGAAAGUUGCGGUGGUUGGGGAUGGACUCGCGGCUUAUCAGCUUGUUGGUGGGGUAGUGGCUUACCAAGGCUUUGACGGGUAGCCGGCCUGAGAGGGUGACCGGCCACAUUGAGACUGAGAUACGGCCCAGACUCCUACGGGAGGCAGCAGUGGGGAAUAUUGCACAAUGGGCGGAAGCCUGAUGCAGCAACGCCGCGUGCGGGAUGACGGCCUUCGGGUUGUAAACCGCUUUCGCCUGUGACGAAGCGUGAGUGACGGUAAUGGGUAAAGAAGCACCGGCUAACUACGUG